UGGGGAAUUUUGGACAAUGGGGGCAACCCUGAUCCAGCCAUGCCGCGUGCGGGAAGAAGGCCUUCGGGUUGUAAACCGCUUUUGUCAGGGAAGAAAUCUUUCGGGUCAAUACCCCGGGGGGAUGACGGUACCUGGAGAAUAAGCACCGGCUAACUACGUGCCAGCAGCCGCGGUAAUACGUAGGGUGCAAGCGUUAAUCGGAAUUACUGGGCGUAAAGCGUGCGCAGGCGGUCGUGCAAGACAGAUGUGAAAUCCCCGGGCUCAACCUGGGAACUGCAUUUGUGACUGCACGACUGGAGUGCGGCAGAGGGGGAUGGAAUUCCGCGUGUAGCAGUGAAAUGCGUAGAUAUGCGGAGGAACACCGAUGGCGAAGGCAAUCCCCUGGGCCUGCACUGACGCUCA
rnacentral:rRNA from 1 species